GGGGAAUUUUGGACAAUGGGGGCAACCCUGAUCCAGCAAUGCCGCGUGAGUGAAGAAGGCCUUCGGGUUGUAAAGCUCUUUUGUCAGGGAAGAAACGGUCCGGGCUAAUAUCCUGGGCUAAUGACGGUACCUGAAGAAUAAGCACCGGCUAACUACGUGCCAGCAGCCGCGGUAAUACGUAGGGUGCAAGCGUUAAUUGGAAUUACUGGGCGUAAAGCGUGCGCAGGCGGUUGUGCAAGACAGAUGUGAAAUCCCCGGGCUUAACCUGGGAAUUGCAUUUGUGACUGCACGGCUAGAGUGUGUCAGAGGGGGGUAGAAUUCCACGUGUAGCAGUGAAAUGCGUAGAGAUGUGGAGGAAUACCGAUGGCGAAGGCGGCAUCCUGGACCGGCAUUGACGCUGAGGAGCGAAAGCGUGGGGAGCAAA
rnacentral:rRNA from 1 species